rnacentral:misc_RNA from 1 species
GAUGAAGAACGCAGCGAAAUGCGAUAAGUAAUGUGAAUUGCAGAAUUCAGUGAAUCAUCGAAUCUUUGAACGCACAUUUCGCCCGCCAGUAUUCUGGCGGGCAUGCCUGUUCGAGCGUCAUUUCAACCAUCAAGCCCCAGGCUUGUGUUGGGGACCUGCGGCUGCCGCAGGCCCUGAAAACCAGUGGCGGGCUCGCUGUCACACCGGGCGUAGUAGAUUUUAUCUCGCUCAGGGCGUGCUGCGGGUUCCGGCCGUUAAAAAGCCUUUUUUACCCAAGGUUGACCUCGGAUCAGGUAGGAAGACCCGCUGAACUUAAGCAUAUCAAUAAGCGGAGGA